AUUGAACGCUGGCGGCAGGCCUAACACAUGCAAGUCGAACGCGUGGCGGACGGGUGAGUAAUGUGUGGGAAACUGCCCGAUGGAGGGGGAUAAAUUGUGGACACGGUAGCUAAUACCGCAUACCAUCGGAUGUGCCCAUAUGGGAUUAGCUAGUAGGUGGGGUAAUGGCUCACCUAGGCGACGAUCCCUAGCUGGUCUGAGAGGAUGACCAGCCACACUGGAACUGAGACACGGUCCAGACUCCUACGGGAGGCAGCAGUGGGGAAUAUUGCACAAUGGGCGCAAGCCUGAUGCAGCCAUGCCGCGUGUAUGAAGAAGGCCUUAGGGUUGUAAAGUACUUUCAGCCGGGAGGCGUUACCCGCAGAAGAAGCACCGGCUAACUCCGUGCCAGCAGCCGCGGUAAUAC
rnacentral:rRNA from 1 species